CAGUCUCUUUUAUUUCUAAACUAUAACUGAUAGAAAUGUUAAACAUGCGCAACCACGGUUAACAGCCGAAUUGUAACAUAGUUGCGUAAAUAAGACGUUUCCAUCAAUUAUAAUUUAAAAAUAUGAGACUGGUGCUUUGGCUUGACGCAUCUCUGAACGCACCCUUAAGUUUUUUUUUUUUUUUUGUAAUGGUAUAACAAUGUUUUGAUGCAAACUUAUAUUGUAGUUGCAAUGGAGGGGCCAAGGGGGAAUUUUCGAAAAAAUCCAGAUAGAACUCUUAUUAUCUUUAUUUAGCUCUUAAGUUUGAUAAACCGCUUGAGUCGACCGGUAUGUCAUUUUAAUCCUCAGUAAAUAUACAUGAUGGAAAUAACACAAUUAGUUGAGUUGAUAAGAAGGUCUAAUAUUCUAUUCUAUUGGGAGUAGGAUUUUCAACAUCGAUUUUUCCGAUAUCGAUAUUGUUCAGCCCGAUAUAUCGCCAUAUCGAGUUUACAUGCAAUGAAUUAAAUCGAGUCAUAAUACCGAUACUUUCUUAAAUAUCGAACAUUCCUACCUCAAUAGUAGUUGAAUCAUGAUUCAAUUUAAAUUUUCGAAUUUCCUUAUCCACAGUACGACCUCGAUAGACGUGGCACAAUGAAGGAGUGAUUAACGUGACGUUCAAUUAAAAAUUUUCAUAAUUUUUUUAGUUGCGUAAAUUGAGCUUUUAUCGUUUUUUUUUUCAGUUUAGACGCGUUCACAGACCUAGAACUGUAGUUUAAUAAUAUAAUUACUAUAUUUUGUUACUAAUCCAACCUACAUAGUUUAUAUAUUAGAAUCCAUUCAAUGAAAUUUCUGAUAUAAAAAGUUGUCAUCCACAAUUGCAGUUGGCAAUGUUUUUACUUUAUUUCACUUACAUACAUACAUCGCAGAACUUAGAAAACUAAGAAGGUGCAUAGCAGUUUUCUAUGUGAUUUGCUUACAUAUAUUUUGUCUAACUAUUUUUUCCUCAUUGUCAUUGCUUUGUUGAGUUUAUUUACUCUUUUAUCGGUUGCUGUUCUUUAUAUGAGUCUUUCUAUAUUCUCGUGGCCGGUUGUUUUCUGCUCGUUUUCUUUUGGUUAGAGUGGGAUAUAGUAAUUAUUUGAAAAGAAAACUGUGGAGAUGAGGUGCUUUCAAUAGACUACAACAGAGUUUAGUAGUAUAUGCUUUAGAAUAGAUUGAGGGGUCGGGAUUAAAAAGUACGGUGGAUAUAACCAAACUUAGAAUUUUUCUAGCAAUUCACGAUACAAAAUAUGAGAUGCGGGCUAUUAAAUCACGGACAUAAAAAUGUAUAGUAGAAUAUGCGUGUAUAUGUUUGUGACUGCAUCUAUUACAUUUCGAUGUUAUGUACAUCCAAAAUAAAGAUACAUGUAUAUGUACAUAUAAAUACAGUGCCGGUAAUAAUAAUUGCACUAUGGUGGAUUUAUGCUAUCUUUAAGAGGAAAAGCAAAGAACGUAGAUAAUAAGGAAGGACAACACGUUCUAAUUGUAGCGGGUGUGAAUAAC